AAGAUUGACCUCCUCAAAUAGCCU
rnacentral:miRNA from 1 species